rnacentral:miRNA from 14 species
UGUGUGUGUGUGUGUGUGUGUGUGUGUGUGUUAGAGAAAGGUAAAGUGAACAGGGCUGCAGGAGGCGAGCUCUCCCUGGUACAUCUGUCUCUUUCACUUUGCAGCCACUCUACUUACGAGCGCACACACACACACACACACACACACACA